CUCCCAUUUCUGUAAUAGAUUUUUAAAAAAUGGAUCUGCUGAUUACAUCUAAAAGCUCUCCUUCCAACAUCUUCAACUCUGGCUCAGGGCAAGAUGUGGCGGUCCCCGCUCUCGUGCCUGAGGGUUAAAAGUCUCAGGAGCUGGCUCAGGCAGGUCUUCAGGGGCAGGGCUCAUUUCUGGCCCCGAGAGAGGAACUGCAGCCCCUUGCAACCUGCUGCUCCCUAUUUAAAGAGAGUGAGUUGGAGGUGGAGGUGUGGGGGGAGGAGAGGGAGAGAAAUGAACAUGCUUUGGAUGUAGAAUCAAUUUGAGUGUGACUCAAUCCCUCGGCAUUAAACUUUUCCCCUCAAUUAUUUCAAAUUUAUGUCUAUCUGCUGAAGAACCACGGUCUUAGCAUCAUCGGAGAGCAAAAUGGGAAGAUACGACCCACACUCAUGGCAUUUAUAUUCAUGAUGAAUCUAUGUAUCAAUCAGAAGCUAGGAAAAGGCUGAGAUGCUGAUUGUCCCCGCCCUGCAUGGAAUCCUGGACCAUUCUGGAAACUGGAGAGCUUGUGAAGUCGUGUCUGCCGAAAAACCACAUCUGGUUCACCACCGCCUCAACAGAUACACAAUGAAAUACAAAGGCCAAUUCUGCGGUGUACACAAUCCGUGUCAGUUUACCCAGAGGAUUCCAGAUGGAAUGAACUCCGCAGACGGGGUUCACGGAGCGCAGGCGAUGCUGGGGGAGGAGGUGAGCCACGGGUGGGGCUUGAAACCCUCAAGGAGCUCCCAGGGGUACCGUGAUCAGUCCACGGGGUGGGGGGUGGGGUGGAGCUCUCGCCCUGGGCGAGGUGGGGGGGGACCUGUGAAUCUUUGCAAACUCCGCCUUUCCGUGUUGGUUGACCAGCCACGCUUUUGCAGAGUUGCAAUUUCUCAAAGUAACUUUUUUUCCCCAGCCCUCAUUGUCUCCCUUGGAAAUCGUAAGGGGAAUAUUGGUGCUGGGAGGACAUCUCGCGCUGCAGCGGUGGAGGCGGAGGCGUUUUACACGUUGUUAAGGUAGGAGUGACGGCAUCUGUAUUUAAACCUAAUAGAAAAUAUCAGCCACCGUUUCUUGAAUGUCUGCUCUAGGCCAGAGGCCGGGCUUAAGAAUUUUCUUUGCCUGGACACAGUUCUGUGAGGUCUCCGGAGGUGUGGCUCUUGAGCGUUUUAUAGAUGUGGUAAAGUGACCUUCCCCAAACUUGAGUGGCUUCGUGUUUUUGAUUGUUUACCUAAUCUCAUUGAUGUUGAGUAUAUGCCCAGGAGUUUGUUUAUUUAUUUAUUUGCUUUUUAGGGCCACACCUUUGGAAGUUCCUGGGCUGGGGGCCGAAUGGGAGCUGCCGUGACCCGCC
rnacentral:lncRNA from 1 species